UGGCUCAGGACGAACGCUGGCGGCGUGCCUAAUACAUGCAAGUCGAGCGGAUUGUUCYUUCGGGAACAGUUAGCGGCGGACGGGUGAGUAACACGUAGGCAACCUGCCUACAGGAUCGGGAUAACUACCGGAAACGGUAGCUAAGACCGGAUACAAGACUUUGACGCAUGUCGGAGUUUGGAAACACGGAGCAAUCUGUGACCUGUAGAUGGGCCUGCGGCGCAUUAGCUAGUUGGUGAGGUAACGGCUCACCAAGGCGACGAUGCGUAGCCGACCUGAGAGGGUGAACGGCCACACUGGGACUGAGACACGGCCCAGACUCCUACGGGAGGCAGCAGUAGGGAAUCUUCCGCAAUGGACGCAAGUCUGACGGAGCAACGCCGCGUGAGUGAUGAAGGUUUUCGGAUCGUAAAGCUCUGUUGCCAGGGAAGAAAGGCCAGGAGAGUAACUG
rnacentral:rRNA from 1 species